GAUGAAGAACGUAGUGAAAUGCGAUAAGUAAUGUGAAUUGCAGAAUUCAGUGAAUCAUCGAAUCUUUGAACGCACCUUGCGCCCUUUGGCCAUUCCGAAGGGCAUGCCUGUUUGAGUAUCAUGAACACCUCAACUCUUUAUGGUUUUCCAUGAUGAGCUUGGACUCUGGGGGUUUUGCUGGCUCACAGUCGGCUCCUCUAAAAUGAAUCAGCUUACCAGUGUUUGGUGGGUAUCAUGGGUGUGAUAACUAUCUACGCUUGUGGUUUUUCCACCAGGUAACCUUCAGCAGUGGAGGUUCGCUGGAGCUCGUAGAUGUCUCUCCUCAGUGAGGACAGCCCUUUGAAUGUUUGAUCUCAAAUCAGGUAGGACUACCCGCUGAACUUAAGCAUAUCAAUAAGCGGAGGA
rnacentral:misc_RNA from 1 species